ACCAGAUGUGGCAGAAGAAAAGAAAAUAGCUUUUCCUUUUAAAAUGUUUCCCUCUUGUUUACAAACUGUAAAGACAAACCCAAGGCAGAGAAGGAUCAUAUGGGUUGACGGAGAAGUUCAAGACAAUUGAAGACUCAGUGCACUAGAAAGGAGAGAUCUACAACUGGUUCCUGUCAGCCUGCACUUCUUUGCUUCAUCCACCUUAUCUAGUUUGCUGGCUAUAUAAGUAUGGGCCACAUCAAGACCCCAUAUGAACAACAAUGCCAACAAACUAGAGCUUCCAGAGCCUAAGCCACUAUCCAAAGAAUAUACAUGGACUGACCCUGGGCUCCAACCUCAUAGAAUGUUACAUUUGACUUCCUAUAUCUCUCUAUCAACUAUGGACUGCAUUGAAGCUGGCUUCUUUCCUUGGAAUUUGAAGAAACUGAUAGCCACUAUAUUAGAUUGUCUACCAAUCAGAACUCUUGAACAGGUUCCUGUUCUUUGGACUCUUAAGAGAACACUUAAAAUUUUCUGUCCUGAAGAUAAAAAGUAACUCAGACUACAAACAACAGCAUGCACAUCAACUUCUCACCCAGAGAAGUGUCCAUGUAUUCUCCAGAGCACUAGAGCCCCUGUAGCUUGCUGACCUAACAUUUCAUUUUAUGUAUUAAUUAAUUAAUUAAUUAAUUAUCUUUUUAGUCAUGUUUUAAGGAUGCUGGAUCUUAAGGACAACAAAACUCUCUUACAACUAAGGUUCUCAAAUCAGAAGCAUCCAGCAAAAAAUGCUACCAAGAAACCUCACAUAUUUCUCCUAACCUUCCAUGCAUUACUCAGGAGCCUAAUAAUUGCAUUAUGUAUCAAUGUGUUCUUAUCCACACAUAUCAGGAAAAAUAACUCAUCCAUUAAGGAUCGUGUGUUGGUUAUUUGUUACUCUUUUUGUAAAUCUGUGAUCUUCUUCCUUUGAGAUACAUCUUCUUUGACAAUAUUCUUAUAACUAAAUCCUGAAUAAAUU